UACGGGAGGCAGCAGUGGGGAAUAUUGGACAAUGGGCGAAAGCCUGAUCCAGCCAUGCCGCGUGUGUGAAGAAGGUCUUCGGAUUGUAAAGCACUUUAAGUUGGGAGGAAGGGCAGUAAAUUAAUACUUUUGCUGUUUUGACGUUACCGACAGAAUAAGCACCGGCUAACUCUGUGCCAGCAGCCGCGGUAAUACAGAGGGUGCAAGCGUUAAUCGGAAUUACUGGGCGUAAAGCGCGCGUAGGUGGUUCGUUAAGUUGGAUGUGAAAUCCCCGGGCUCAACCUGGGAACUGCAUUCAAAACUGACGAGCUAGAGUAUGGUAGAGGGUGGUGGAAUUUUCCUGUGUAGCGGUGAAAUGCGUAGAUAUAGGAAGGAACACCAGUGGCGAAGGCGACCACCUGGGACUGAUACUGACACUGAGUGCGAAAGCGUGGGGAGCAAACAGGGAUUAGAUACC
rnacentral:rRNA from 1 species